CAGUCGCCGCGGUAAUACGUAGGUGGCAAGCGUUGUCCGGAAUUAUUGGGCGUAAAGCGCGCGCAGGCGGAUCAGUUAGUCUGUCUUAAAAGUUCGGGGCUUAACCCCGUGAUGGGAUGGAAACUGCUGAUCUAGAGUAUCGGAGAGGAAAGUGGAAUUCCUAGUGUAGCGGUGAAAUGCGUAGAUAUUAGGAAGAACACCAGUGGCGAAGGCGACUUUCUGGACGAAAACUGACGCUGAGGCGCGAAAGCCAGGGGAGCGAACGGGAUUAGAUACCCCAGUAGUCCCUGUCUCUUAUACA
rnacentral:rRNA from 1 species